AUGGUAACAAUUUGUCGGUAGCUUAUCCUGUUAUUGGCUACAGUGGCCCUUGCAGCGAUCCAAAGUGGAUUGGCAGGGCACGCUCACAGUUUCGCGCACUUUCAUGGACCAGUUGCAGGGCCCGGACACGAAGUGAUUGUCCACGAUGAGCAUGGCCAUCAUCAUGUAGACUACGUCGCGCAUCCCAAAUACGAGUUCGCAUACGGAAUCGAGGAUCAUCACACUGGCGAUUACCAUGGGCAAAAGGAACACAGGGACGGGAAAAAGGUCGUCGGCGAGUACACCGUCAAGGAACCGGGCGGCAACACCAGAACCGUGACCUACCACGCCGACCCGCACGGAGGAUUUUUUGCUCACGUCCACAACUCCGGCGGUAAUAACCAUCACGGCGGUACAUACGGCGGUUACAAGCACCACUGAAGGCGUCAAGGAAACUUAAGUGUGAUACACGACGGUAACACACUUAACCCAGGGGUCAACCUCUUGCGUCGAGUUAUAAUUGUUAAAUAAACAUUUGCUGUUUUACAAAUUUACGGCGCAUCUCGCACUCACUUUCAUCACCCGCCUCAACGCGAAAAAUUAUGCAAAGUACGAAGUACGCGUGGGGAAUUAUUCAUCGCACGAAAUUCUUUAAUUAUUAAUGCUACAUAACUGUAUAAUUAAAAGUUUCUCUAAUUCCCUUUUUUUUUACUCUGCGAUUCCAAUUAGAAACAGGUUUAUUAUAUUUUAACUCUUGAAAUAUUAAAUGAAUUUAAUGGAAAGUUCCUUUUUUCAAGGGAACAUUUUUGUUUGCUCUUUUCUGCUGCAUAAGAGAGAUAAAGGUACGCGCGUUGCCACGCAAAAAUACGUGAAACAUAAAAUUGUAAAUAUGGAAAAUUUUUUUCUGAAACUAAUGCAAAUUAUACAUUAUUUAAGCUUUCUAGGUACGUAUCAUACUUUAGAUUUUCGGCACUACGGCCUUUCGCUUAUGUAAUCGAAAGCGUUAUUACCUACGAAUAGCAACGGUAAUUCAGAAGUGUAGGCAGAACAAAUAAAUGGGCAGAUUGCGUGU